rnacentral:rRNA from 1 species
UACGGGGGGGGCAAGCGUUGUUCGGAUUCAUUGGGCGUAAAGGGUGCGUAGGCGGUCGCGCAAGUCGGAUGUGAAAUCUCAGGGCUCAACCCUGAAACUGCAUUCGAUACUGCGUGGCUAGAGUGCUGGAGAGGAGACUGGAAUUUACGGUGUAGCAGUGAAAUGCGUAGAUAUCGUAAGGAAGACCAGUGGCGAAGGCGAGUCUCUGGACAGCAACUGACGCUGAGGCACGAAGGCCAGGGGAGCAAACGGG